rnacentral:rRNA from 1 species
GGAACACGUGUGCAACCUGCCUUUAUCUGGGGGAUAGCCUUUCGAAAGGAAGAUUAAUACCCCAUAAUAUACUGGAUGGCAUCAUUCGGUAUUGAAAACUCCGGUGGAUAGAGAUGGGCACGCGCAAGAUUAGAUAGUUGGUGAGGUAACGGCUCACCAAGUCUACGAUCUUUAGGGGGCCUGAGAGGGUGAUCCCCCACACUGGUACUGAGACACGGACCAGACUCCUACGGGAGGCAGCAGUGAGGAAUAUUGGACAAUGGGUGAGAGCCUGAUCCAGCCAUCCCGCGUGAAGGACGACGGCCCUAUGGGUUGUAAACUUCUUUUGUAUAGGGAUAAACCUACCCUCGUGAGGGUAGCUGAAGGUACUAUACGAAUAAGCACCGGCUAACUCCGUGCCAGCAGCCGCGGUAAUACGGAGGGUGCAAGCGUUAUCCGGAUUUAUUGGGUUUAAAGGGUCCGUAGGCGGAUCUGUAAGUCAGUGGUGAAAUCUCACAGCUUAACUGUGAAACUGCCAUUGAUACUGCAGGUCUUGAGUGUUGUUGAAGUAGCUGGAAUAAGUAGUGUAGCGGUGAAAUGCAUAGAUAUUACUUAGAACACCAAUUGCGAAGGCAGGUUACUAAGCAACAACUGACGCUGAUGGACGAAAGCGUGGGGAGCGAACAGGAUUAGAUACCCUGGUAGUCCACGCCGUAAACGAUGCUAACUCGUUUUUGGAAUGUAAGUUUCAGAGACUAAGCGAAAGUGAUAAGUUAGCCACCUGGGGGAGUACGAACGCAAGUUUGAAACUCAAAGGAAUUGACGGGGGCCCGCACAAGCGGUGGAUUAUGUGGUUUAAUUCGAUGAUACGCGAGGAACCUUACCAAGGCUUAAAUGGGAAAUGACAGGUUUAGAAAUAGACUUUUCUUCGGACAUUUUUCAAGGUGCUGCAUGGUUGUCGUCAGCUCGUGCCGUGAGGUGUUAGGUUAAGUCCUGCAACGAGCGCAACCCCUGUCACUAGUUGCCAUCAUUAAGUUGGGGACUCUAGUGAGACUGCCUACGCAAGUAGAGAGGAAGGUGGGGAUGACGUCAAAUCAUCACGGCCCUUACGCCUUGGGCCACACACGUAAUACAAUGGCCGGUACAGAGGGCAGCUACACUGCGAAGUGAUGCAAAUCUCGAAAGCCGGUCUCAGUUCGGAUUGGAGUCUGCAACUCGACUCUAUGAAGCUGGAAUCGCUAGUAAUCGCGCAUCAGCCAUGGCGCGGUGAAUACGUUCCCGGGCCUUGUACACACCGCCCGU